rnacentral:rRNA from 1 species
GACGUAGGGUGCGAGCGUUGUCCGGAAUCAUUGGGCGUAAAGCGCGUGUAGGCGGCCCGGUAAGUCCGCUGUGAAAGUCGGGGGCUCAACCCUCGGAUGCCGGUGGAUACUGUCGGGCUCGAGUACGGAAGAGGCGAGUGGAAUUCCUGGUGUAGCGGUGAAAUGCGCAGAUAUCAGGAGGAACACCAAUUGCGAAGGCAGCUCGCUGGGACGUAACUGACGCUGAGACGCGAAAGCGUGGGGAGCAAACAGG